UUCUUAUCAAGAGCGGCGGAGGGACUGGCCCGAUGAAGCCCGGCAACCACCGUAAAUCGGAUGGUGCUAAUUCCUGCAGGACAAUCGUCCUGGGAGAUAAGAG
rnacentral:ncRNA from 2 species